rnacentral:misc_RNA from 1 species
AACGCAUCUUGCACUCCUUGGUUUACCUAUGGAGUAUGCCUGUUUGAGUGUCAUGUUGACAUCAGUUCUCCCGGGUUUUCUAACAUAAAUGAUACCUGUUGGAUGAAUUGGACUUGGAGGAUAUAUAAUGCAGGUCCCUCUUUACUUGGGGGAUCAGCACCUCUUGAAAAUAUUAGCUGGAGGACAAGACAAAGACUUUUAGUAUCUGCUCUGUUGCUAUGGUGUGAUAAUUAUUUCAUCAUGGCUUAGAAGUGACAAGCAAAUGCACAUUUGUGAAGUCUUUGUAGCUUGCUCUGCUGCAAAAUAUGCAUAGCAUCAAUUAGACAUUUUGGCCUCAAAUCAGGCAGGAUUACCCGCUGAACUUAA